AAGUCGUAACAAGGUUUCCGUAGGUGAACCUGCGGAAGGAUCAUUACAAAUAAAGCUGGUAGGAAGUGGGGUCUUGAUCUGUAAGUGGUAGAGCGAACAGUCCGGCUGCCUCCCGAAAUGUCUUACAUGUCCCCCACAGCCUGAAGGCCGAAUUACAACCCUUGAUUAUCUACACUUGUUGCUUUUGGAUGGCUCAUCAGCCAGGUACCGCCCAAGGACCCUACUCUUCGCUAGCUUUUAGUGACGUCUGAGUACUAUAUAAUAUUUAAAA
rnacentral:misc_RNA from 1 species